rnacentral:rRNA from 1 species
GAUGAACGCUGGCGGCGUGCCUAAUACAUGCAAGUCGAGCGAAUGGAUUAAGAGCUUGCUCUUAUGAAGUUAGCGGCGGACAGGUGAGUAACACGUGGGUAACCUGCCCAUAAGACUGGGAUAACUCCGGGAAACCGGGGCUAAUACCGGAUAACAUUUUGAACCGCAUGGUUCGAAAUUGAAAGGCGGCUUCGGCUGUCACUUAUGGAUGGACCCGCGUCGCAUUAGCUAGUUGGUGAGGUAACGGCUCACCAAGGCAACGAUGCGUAGCCGACCUGCGAGGGUGAUCGGCCACACUGGGACUGAGACACGGCCCAGACUCCUACGGGAGGCAGCAGUAGGGAAUCUUCCGCAAUGGACGAAAGUCUGACGGAGCAACGCCGCGUGAGUGAUGAAGGCUUUCGGGUCGUAAAACUCUGUUGUUAGGGAAGAACAAGUGCUAGUUGAAUAAGCUGACACCUUGACGGUACCUAACCAGAAAGCCACGGCUAACUACGUGCCAGCAGCCGCAGUAA